rnacentral:tRNA from 1 species
GCCCCUAUAGUCUAGUGGUUUAGGACACCUUAUAUAUUAAUUAAAGAAGGUAACGUGGAUUCAACUUCCUCUAGGGGU